rnacentral:lncRNA from 1 species
UAAUGUGGAGUCUAUCACUGCUAUGUGACCACAAAUGUAGUGGCUUAAAAGAAAACAAAUGUAUUAUCUUACAGUUCUGAGGUCAGAAUUUCUAAAAUCAAGGCACUGGUGAGGUUACACAUCUUUUAGGGGCUUAGAGAAUCCCUUUCCUUGCCUUUUCCAGAGUCUAGGAGCCACCUGCAUUCUUUGGCGUGUAGCUUCUCCAUUCUCAACUCCACCCCUCCCCGCACCAUCUCUGACCUCUGCAUCUGUGAUCACAUCUCCUUUUUCUGAUUCUGACCCUCUUGCCUCCCUCUUAGAAGGACUCUUGUGACCAUUUUGGGCCAACCGAGGUAAUCCAAAGUAAUCUUCCUAUUUCAAGAUCCUUAACUUAUUCACAUCUGCAAAAUUCCUUUUGCCAUAUAAAUAGUAACAGGUCCAGGGGAUUAAGACAUAGGCAUCUUUCAGAAACCAUUAUUUUGUUUGCCACAGAAUCUUCAAGCUAAAAAUUACUCAUCAGAGAAGCCCAUGAAAUGGGCUUCCUUUAACAUCCCUGCUGUUCUCACUUGUCUGGGAGCAGCUCAGGGGAGGUGAUGCCCCCACUGAAAACACAAUCAGAAAACUGGGAGGCUGAUUUUCAUGACCACCACAAGAGGUUAGCAGAGGAAACAAAGACAUACUGAGGGUUAAUAACUGACACAAAGGAGAUAAACUUGCCCAAGGUCUCCCAUUUUGUAAAUGGUAGAGUGGAAGUUGACAUCAGAUCUUUCUUUCCAGGGAUGUCAAGCAGAACAGAACCCUUUGGGAAGACAUGUUGAUCAUCUUCCAGCUAGCCUAACAACCCCUGAAGCCUCAGAGCUCUGCAGUUUUCAAGGCAUCUUCAGACAAGAAUCCUCAUGAAGCAUGGCAUUUCAUCACCACUCUAUCCAACUUCCUAGAAUUACCACAGAACUAUCUUUUUGAGGUCCUGAUGACUUUUGGAGCAUCUGAGACAGGAAGGGAAUAUUGGGUUACUACUUCUUGCUAGACCAGCAUAUUAGACCAGCAUAUAACCUUCCACUCUUGUUAUAACUUCUUUUCCCUCCACUUAUUUAUGAUUCUCAUAUUUGACAAUCACUCAUCUCCCUUCCC